rnacentral:rRNA from 1 species
GAUGAACGCUGGCGGCGUGCCUAAUACAUGCAAGUCGAGCGAACAGAUGAGGAGCUUGCUCCUCUGACGUUAGCGGCGGACGGGUGAGUAACACGUGGAUAACCUACCUAUAAGACUGGGAUAACUUCGGGAAACCGGAGCUAAUACCGGAUAAUAUAUUGAACCGCAUGGUUCAAUAGUGAAAGACGGUUUUGCUGUGACUUAUAGAUGGAUCCGCGCCGCAUUAGCUAGUUGGUAAGGUAACGGCUUACCAAGGCAACGAUGCGUAGCCGACCUGAGAGGGUGAUCGGCCACACUGGAACUGAGACACGGUCCAGACUCCUACGGGAGGCAGCAGUAGGGAAUCUUCCGCAAUGGGCGAAAGCCUGACGGAGCAACGCCGCGUGAGUGAUGAAGGUCUUCGGAUCGUAAAACUCUGUUAUUAGGGAAGAACAAAUGUGUAAGUAACUAUGCACGUCUUGACGGUACCUAAUCAGAAAGCCACGGCUAACUACGUG